rnacentral:rRNA from 2 species
AACACAUGCAAGUCGAGCGAUGAAAUUUUAACAGAUCCUUUCGGGGAGAAGAUAAGAUGGAUUAGCGGCGGACGGGUGAGUAACACGUGAGUAACCUGCCUUUGACACAGGGAUAGCCUCGGGAAACCGGGAUUAAUACCAGAUAACAUUAUCAGAUCGCAUGAGAAGAUAAUCAAAGCUGAGGCGGUCAAAGAUGGACUCGCGUCCCAUUAGCUAGUUGGUAGAGUAAUAGCCUACCAAGGCAACGAUGGGUAGCCGGCCUGAGAGGGUGAACGGCCACAUUGGAACUGAGAAACGGUCCAAACUCCUACGGGAGGCAGCAGUGGGGAAUAUUGCACAAUGGGGGCAACCCUGAUGCAGCGACGCCGCGUGAGCGAAGAAGGUUUUCGAAUCGUAAAGCUCUGUCCUAUGGGAAGAUAAUGACGGUACCAUAGGAGGAAGCCCCGGCUAACUACGUGCCAGCCGCCGCGGUAA